AUUGAACGCUGGCGGCAGGCCUAACACAUGCAAGUCGAGCGAGCGGCGGACGGGUGAGUAAUGUCUGGGGAUCUGCCCGAUAGAGGGGGAUAACUACUGGAAACGGUGGCUAAUACCGCAUACUAUCGGAUGUACCCAUAUGGGAUUAGCUUGUGGGUGGGGUAAAGGCUCACCGAGGCGACGAUCUCUAGCUGGUCUGAGAGGAUGCGAAUCCACACUGGGAAGGAGACACGGUCCAGACUCCUACGGGAGGCAGCAGUGGGGAAUAUUGCACAAUGGGCGCAAGCCUGAUGCAGCCAUGCCGCGUGUAUGAAGAAGGCCUUAGGGUUGUAAAGUACUUUCAGCGGGGAGGCGUUACCCGCAGAAGAAGCACCGGCUAACUCCGUGCCAGCCGCCGCGGUAAUUC
rnacentral:rRNA from 1 species